rnacentral:misc_RNA from 1 species
GAGUUCAUGCCCGAAAGGGUAGACCUCCCACCCUUGUGUAUUAUUACUUUGUUGCUUUGGCGAGCUGCCUUCGGGUCUUGUAUGCUCGCCAGAGAAUAUCAAAACUCUUUUUAUUAAUGUCGUCUGAGUGCCAUAUAAUAGUUAAAACUUUCAACAGCGGAUCUCUUGGUUCU